GAUGAACGCUCGCUACAGGCUUAACACAUGCAAGUCGAGGGGAAACGGCAUCGAAAGCUUGCUUUUGAUGGGCGUCGACCGGCGCACGGGUGAGUAACGCGUAUCCAACCUGCCCAUCACUUGGGAAUAACCUUGCGAAAGUAAGACUAAUGCCCAAUGACAUCCCACGAAGGCAUCCGAAUGGGAUUAAAGAUUUAUCGGUGAUGGAUGGGGAUGCGUCUGAUUAGCUUGUUGGCGGGGUGACGGCCCACCAAGGCAACGAUCAGUAGGGGUUCUGAGAGGAAGGUCCCCCACAUUGGAACUGAGACACGGUCCAAACUCCUACGGGAGGCAGCAGUGAGGAAUAUUGGUCAAUGGGCGAGAGCCUGAACCAGCCAAGUAGCGUGCAGGAUGACGGCCCUAUGGGUUGUAAACUGCUUUUAGAAGGGAAUAAAGUGGGUCACGUGUGACUUUUUGCAUGUACCUUAUGAAUAAGGACCGGCUAAUUCCGUG
rnacentral:rRNA from 1 species